rnacentral:rRNA from 1 species
GAUCAUGGCUCAGGAUGAACGCUAGCUACAGGCUUAACACAUGCAAGUCGAGGGGGAAACGAUAGAGAAAGCUUGCUUUUUCUAGGCGUCGACCGGNGCACGGGUGAGUAACGCGUAUCCAACCUGCCCACCACUUGGGGAUAACCUUGCGAAAGUAAGACUAAUACCCAAUGACGUCUCUAGAAGACAUCUGAAAGAGAUUAAAGAUUUAUCGGUGAUGGAUGGGGAUGCGUCUGAUUAGCUUGUUGGCGGGGUAACGGCCCACCAAGGCGACGAUCAGUAGGGGUUCUGAGAGGAAGGUCCCCCACAUUGGAACUGAGACACGGUCCAAACUCCUACGGGAGGCAGCAGUGAGGAAUAUUGGUCAAUGGACGAGAGUCUGAACCAGCCAAGUAGCGUGCAGGAUGACGGCCCUAUGGGUUGUAAACUGCUUUUAUAAGGGAAUAAAGUGAGUCUCGUGAGACUUUUUGCAUGUACCUUAUGAAUAAGGACCGGCUAAUUCCGUG